AUUGAACGCUGGCGGCAUGCUUUACACAUGCAAGUCGAACGGUAACAGGUCUUCGGAUGCUGACGAGUGGCGAACGGGUGAGUAAUGCAUCGGAACGUGCCCAGUCGUGGGGGAUAACGCAGCGAAAGCUGCGCUAAUACCGCAUACGAUCUAUGGAUGAAAGCGGGGGACCGUAAGGCCUCGCGCGAUUGGAGCGGCCGAUGUCAGAUUAGGUAGUUGGUGGGGUAAAGGCCCACCAAGCCAACGAUCUGUAGCUCGUCUGAGAGGACGACCAGCCACACUGGGACUGGGACACGGCCCAGACUCCUACGGGAGGCAGCAGUGGGGAAUUUUGGACAAUGGGCGCAAGCCUGAUCCAGCAAUGCCGCGUGCAGGAAGAAGGCCUUCGGGUUGUAAACUGCUUUUGUACGGAACGAAACGGCUCUCUCUAAUACAGAGGGCUAAUGACGGUACCGUAAGAAUAAGCACCGGCUAACUACGUGCCAGCCGCCGCGGUAAAAC
rnacentral:rRNA from 1 species